rnacentral:rRNA from 1 species
UACGGGGGGAGCAAGCGUUGUUCGGAUUUACUGGGCGUAAAGGGCGCGUAGGCGGCCACCGCAAGUCGACUGUGAAAUCUCCGGGCUUAACCCGGAAAGGUCAGCCGAUACUGCGGGGCUAGAGUGCAGAAGGGGCAACUGGAAUUCUCGGUGUAGCGGUGAAAUGCGUAGAUAUCGAGAGGAACACCUGCGGCGAAGGCGGGUUGCUGGGCUGACACUGACGCUGAUGUGCGAAAGCUAGGGGGAGCGAACGGGG